CCCGUUCUAAGACUACUCUAACUUAGCAUGCUUAAUUUUAUUAACCUUUUGAGGUUAACCACUACAAAAAAAGAUAUAGCCGGUUUAAGAAUUUUAGCUCUAUUAUAUCUUAUAUAUAGUACUACCAGGAUCUCACAUUCUUUAAUUCCCUUUAAGCCCUGACAUUAUCAUCAGAUUCAAACUCACAAGUAUUAGACCAUGUGAUACUCAUCUCACUAGCCUUAAUCGACCUUAUGGGAGAGCCGCGCUCUACUCACAACAGUCAUCGGGAUGAAAACCUCGCUCUCCUCGCUGUAUAACCUGACUUAAUUAGUCAAGACUCAUCUCACAUUUUCGGCUGAUAAUUGACUUUGAUACCAACUGUGGUGUUCCACUUUCCGGGGGUCAUCCAUCAUAGAACUACUCUAGCUUAGCAUGCUUAACUCUCUUAACCUCUUGGGUCUAACCAUCGUCCAAAAUGCUAUAGUCGGGCUAAAAGUUUUAGUCCUAUUAUAUUUUAUAUAUAUAAACUAUCUGUGGUCUCACAUUGGAAAUAAUUAACUAGUUCAAUCAAUAAAU
rnacentral:lncRNA from 1 species